AAAAAAAAAAAACAGUCCCUCUCAUAGCACUUUGGGAAAACACAGUAGAAAUGCCUAGUUAUCCUUACUUGCCAUGGAUGUGCCCAGGAUGAAAGCUGAUGUUUAAGGUAGGAAGGACUUACACAGUUCAGGAUGGCUAGUAACAAUAUUUACUGCAUGACUAUGAUGUGCUCGGAGCUAUGCAAAACACUUGAAAGUCAGUAUAGGUACAGAGUGGAAAGCCCAUGGCGAAGGUAAAGACACUUCAUUAUCUACCACAAAAAUAAUCUACUUUGUAAACCUACCUGUAUCUCUUGGGGAUGGUUUAUCUUGAACAUCUACUAAGACAUUUAAAAAUGUAUUUGCUGGGCCCCCACUCAGCGACCCAGCUUGGUGCCCGCCCGACUUCUCAGCGGCCCCGUGCAGCCCGGGCCCUGGGAGCGCCCGGCGGAGCAGUGGCCGAGCGCGGAGGAGCCCAGCGGCUGGGGUUGGGGUGGGCGCCUGGGCUGGAGCCGCAACGGCAGGGCUGCGGGGUCCUUCAUGACGAGAGAUUUUGGGGCAUUUCUCUCUCCUCUGUGUAGUUGAUAGUCUGGGUGGUGAAGAGAUGGCUGACAGUGUCAAAACCUUUCUCCAGGACCUUGGCAGGGGAAUCAAAGACUCCAUCUGGGGUAUUUGUACCAUCUCAAAGCUAGACGCUCGAAUCCAGCAAAAGAGAGAGGAACAGCGUCGAAGAAGGGCAAGUAGUGUCCUAGCUCAGCGUAGAGCCCAGAGGAUAGAGGGAAGCAGGAGAGAGUCACGUAUUGUUCGUAGAAUCUUCCAGCGCUGUGCUUGGAAUGGCGGAGUAUUCUGGCUCAGUCUCCUCUUGUUUUUAUCCAGUGUUUAUUCCUGUGCUUCAGUCAGUAACAGCCUGAAUUAUUGGUGAUCCAUCACUGCAUGGAGCUGUUUGGUCGUGGCUGGAAUUCUUCCUCACAUCAGUUUUCAGUGCUUUGGGUGCUCCCCGUUUGUGCUUAGCAAAGUUGUGAAUGCCAUUUGGUUUCAAGAUACGGCCGACCUGGCAUUUGAGGUGUCAGGGAGGAAGCGAAAUAACUGCUGGCAUGCUCUUCAGGCUUCUGCUACAGGCUCCUUUCCUUUUCCGGGGGUGUCUGUGAGUCUCUUUCCCAUCCAUCUUGCUGGUCAGCUGGUUAGUCUGCUGCAUAUGUCCCUUCUCUUCUCCCUGUACUGCUUUGAAUAUCGUUGGUUCAAUAAAGGAAUUGAAAUGCACCAGCAAUUGUCAAACAUGGAAAGGAACUGGCCUUACUACUUUGGGUUUGGUUUGCCCUUGGCUUUCCUCACAGCAAUGCAGUCCUCAUACAUUGUCAGUGGCUGCCUCUUCUCUAUUCUUUCCUUUAUUCAUUAUCAGCGCCAAUGAAGCAAAGACCCCCUGGAAAAUCAUACCUUUUCCAGUUGCGCCUCUUCUCCUUGGUGGUCUUCUUAAGCAACAGACUCUUCCACAAGACAGUUUACCUGCAGUCUGCUCUGAGCAGCUCCACCUCUGCAGAGAAGUUCCCUUCACCACAUCCAUCUCCUGCCAAACUGAAGGCUGCUGCAGGCCACUGAGUUGCCUGCUCUCCAGAGGGUAUGGGUGGAAUUGGAUGGAGGCUGUGGCAGCUCUUUUCUCUGUUCUCCCAUGCCAGGGAAGGCAGAAUCCACUCUGCCAAGGGCCCUCUGCAUUUUCCCUUCUCCUUGAGGAAUUGGGAUUUUUGACUCUGGUGCAUGUUAGGCAGAAUUUUCUUGACACCAGUAUGUGGAUUUUUACUACCACCAUGAGUCUAAAAGGACCACAGGUUUUCCUGCAGCUAUUUUCUAGCAUUUGCCAGCCCCUGUGCCUGGACUGAUUUGAAUACUUUGUUUUUCUCCCUGUGCCAUUUUCCCUCCCAUCUUUUUCCUGCCUUCCAGCACCCUUGCAUGAAAGGAUUUUGUAUUUCUAGCUGUUGUAUUUUGUGGAUUUGUUAUUUUUGUUGUUUUUCUGUGAAGCACAUACAUUGGAUGUGGGAGGUAGAGGAGUUACCUCAGUUGCUCCUUAACACUCCCUUUAUAGUCAUCACUGUCAUGUUUCUUGUAACUCAGGUUAGGUUUUGGUCUCUCUUGCUCUACUGCAAAACAAAAAGAAGGAGAAAAAAAGAGCCUGAAGAGAUGGGACAAAAGGAAAGACCUUACAGCCAGAUCAGCUGGUUUUGAGGAGUAAUUUUCUUUCUUCCCCUUGAAGGGGAAAAAGAUUUUUUCACUGGUCCAUUUAAAGUUCCCCAAUAAUGAGGAGGUACCAAUUCUGGACAAGGGCCACUGCAA